GGGCAUCAGCGUCAUAGUGGAAACACUUUUCUUUCACUGCCGCCUUCUUUCGAACAUCCUUCUUUGGCUUACUCUCCUUCUUCUGCUUCUUCAAAGGUUCACUCUUCUUCUUCCAACCAGACUUUCUCUUGGAUGAAAAAGAUCACUCCAUAGUGAGAACAGUGCCUCUUGAACUUUUCAAGAUUUUCUUAGCAGUGAUCAAUAUAUUGACCAGUUCGGGUAUGGUGA
rnacentral:lncRNA from 1 species